rnacentral:lncRNA from 1 species
UAUGAGACAACGAAAUGGGGAACUUAUUUAGUCUUUUGCUGUAUUUUUCACAAGAACAUCAAUGUCACAGUAAAACAGAUUCAAACACACAAUUGCACAUAUGUUAAAAGUCUACUCAGAUAAGGUACACUGAUGUGACAGUAACAUUUACAAUUCAUUGGCAGUUAAUUCAGUAACAAGGAAAGUAGCCACAUUCUCCUGAAGGUUCUUUCUGCCUAGUGCUAUUUAAAUAUCAACCACAAUGAAAACUCAAGUUCUCAUUUUAUAACCUCCAGAAAAAAGUGUGGGAACAAAGACAAGAAACAAGGGGAAGGGGAGUUAAUAACUUAACACAAACUGUCACAAAGUUUGUUUCUAGCGCUGACAAAGCAGGACAUUUUACUUAGUAACUGACACUGACAUAAAAUUCCCACCAGGCACUUCACUUCUUCAUUCACCCAACCCCAACAUAAAACACUUCUGACUUCUGGCAAUCCAUUGCACAUAAAGGAAGGUAAGGACAUAGGAAGGAGGAACAACGGCAUAAAGAACAGAGUUGGUUUGGUUUUCAAGUCAAGCUGGCCGAAAGUCCCUAGUUCAAGUCCCAGAUUUGCUCUUUAGUUUAUGGGUGUGACCUUGAUCCAGUCUUUCAACCACGAUUUCCUCUUCUUCCGGGUUCACUGGUGUAAGUCAUCUGUCCCAAAACACUGGAAUGUCAGUUUCUUUUUGAAUACAAUAAAUAUUAACAGGACUUAUGUCACAGCAUCAAAUGGAGGAACCCAUGAGAUUUAUAAAGCGCUGGUACAGUGACUGAUCAUGGUACAUGCUUAAUUGUAAGUUAUUGGCACUAACUAGCAGCGACCAGACCUGAAAAACAGUUUGAAAACUUUUUCAAACGUCGGUAUGUAAAGCUGUUACCCACCAAAUAGAAAUUGCUCAAGUAUGCAUAUAUUUAUUCCACAGAAAUCUAAUAGUUCUAUAUCGGGAUUUGCUAAAGCAAUAAAUGAAUCCUGAAUUGUGGAAACGGACCUAAUCUACGACAAGGCAUUCAGCAGACUCCAAGCUUUUCUACUUCAAAACAGGCCUUAAGCAGGGGGCGACUGGCUGCCCAGUCUCCCCUUCAAGCGACCCCGGGCUGUCAGGGAAUCAGGGAAUCCCACUCCUCCUUGCACAGGGGGAGGACAGAGACAGCCUCGGGAAGGGGGGGGGGCAGCGUUGGGGAAAAACUCGCAUCCCUGGACCUAGUCGUCCAGAUCCACCUCAAGCACGAUGGACCCCGGCAGCUGGUUGAUGUCUAGGGGCUCAGGGGGCGAAUCUCUAAGGAAUUCGCAGGGAUCGGGGAGCCUCGGACAGUCCGCGUUGCGGCUUUCAGCCUGAUGCUGGGCGGACCACGCGGUGAUGCUUCCAGCCCGGAGAGUGUCGCCGGUGGCUUCAAUGAAGGAACACUCUGAGGCAGGAGAGGUGGGCCUGGAGCCGAUCACUGGCAGGGGCUGCUCUGGGGCCUGGCAGUAGCCAGCAUCCAGUGGCUGCAGCAGCAAGCCACCUCCCCCAACAGGUCCUCCGCCGCCGCCGCCGCCGCCGCCGCCGCUGCCGCCGCCGCCGCAGCGGGGCUGGCUGCAGUAGGUGUAGUCGGGAAGCUCGUCGUCCUUCCAGUUGCACACUAGGUCGGGGGCCAAGGGAUGCUCCGUCUGUGGCGGCAGCCCCUGGAACAGCUGCACGGCGGCCGGCGGCCCCAGGAAGCGCAGCGGCCCCAUGCUGGCCACGAAGAGGCUCCGGCCCUGCUGCUCCCAGGCGGCGGCGGCGGCCAGCCCCAGCUCCUUGCAACGGGUGGCGGGCGACGAGGCCGAGGAGGCGGCAGCGGCGGCGGCCGACGACAGCAGGAAGCGGCGGGCCGCGGCGGCGCAGUCUUCGGCCGCCAAGGCCGCGUAGCGCGGCUCUAGGUGCUGCAAGGGGGAGGUGGCGUAGGCCCCGUCCCGCGGCAGCGGCGGCGACAGCGGCGGCUCCUCCUCUGGGCCGGCGGGGGCGGGCCCGCUGGGGCUGUGCACGAUGAAACAGAGCAUGCAGGGCCCGCGGAAGAAGCAGUCCCGAUUGCGGGCCGCCGCCGCCGCGGGCUGUGGGGACGACUUGGUCGGCGUCCGGCCCGGCAGCCUGAUGAGAGGGCGCCGGCGGCGACACCAGCUGCAGCAACGAGGCUUCUUCUGGCUCGCACGGUUCCGAGGCUCCUUCGAGAGAAGGUGGCCCAUAAAGACGGCCCUAGGAGGGCGAGCCCAAGAGAACGGGAUAGAGGCCCGCGAAGCAGGCUCCGAUGGCCGGUCAGGCCGCUGGCAGACCGGGCCUGUGCCCCGCCGCGAGCCGCUCCGCGCUGCGCACCUGGCCGCCUCGACGGCCCGGUGGGUGACAGCCGCUGGGUACCUAGGCGGGCCGCAGGCGGGCUACAUACUUCGGGCCCAGAAGCCUGGAGAAAGCUGAGCCCGAGCUCUGGGGACUCGAGGGAGGCAGCGAGUCGGGUCGCUAGGCCUCUUGGUCCGCUCUGGCAGCGCGCUGGUGGGGGCAGCGGCUGUCCUGCUCAGACCACUUUAUCUGCAGCUCCGCCAACGGCGCGUGUGCCUGCGACACAACAGGAGCCGCAGGAGCACACCACCCACUCCAAGAGGGGGCGGAGCCGGCCUUGGGGGCGCGCCGGAGGGGGGGGGGAGGAAGGAGGGAGGGGUGGGUGCGGGGGCGGAGGGGGGGCAGAGGGAUGGCUCACCUGCUUGGGUUGCCAGCCAGACAAAAGGCUAGCUAGUGGCCCGCCCCCCUGCUCAGAGGUUCCUUAGGGGCCUGAAGCCCAUGACUCUCUUCUGAGGUGGGCCUUUUUUCUCAGUUUUUCAAAUGUAGGCACUGAGAGCUAUCAGUUUUCCUCCUAGGACUACUUGCACACUAUAUCUCAGAUGGGUUUCGUGUUGUGUUUUCCUCCAGUUCCCGGAAAUGUUCUGUUUCUCUUUGGGAUUUCUUCUUUGACCCAUUCAUCAUUCAGUCAUGUGUUGCUUAAUCUCCAGGAGUUUGUGGACUUACUGGAGAUCUGUCUGCUGACAGUUUGAAGUUGUGGUGCGUUAUGAUCAGAGAGGAUGCUCGCUGUCAUUUUAAUCUUCCUGAGAUUAGAGCUUUGCUUUGUAUCCCAGGAUGUGCUCUGUUUUGGAGACCGGUCCCUGUGCUGCUGAGUAGAAGGCCCUUUGGUGUUUGUGUGGAAUAUUCUAUAGGUAUCUCCUAAGUCCAUUUGAUGGCUGAUAACCAUCUAAUUCUCGGGGUUCUGUCUGCUGUCUGUCUAGGUGAAUUGUCUAUUGGAGAAACUGGAACGAACUGGGAAAUUGUACUCACAUAGAAUGAACAGGUUGGUGCCAGGCUGUGUCUUUCAGUCCGCUAGUACAUUUUUAAAUGAAAUCGGGUGAGCCCGUGUUUGGUGCGUAUAUGUUUAGGAUAGUAAUGUCUUGCUUAAUUGUUCUCUUGGUUAGAAUUAAGUGUCCUUCUUUGUCGCUUCUAGUCUAUUUUGACUUAUAUUAGAACGGCAAUGCCAGUUGCUGCCUAGUCCCCUGUCUCGUUUGACUGGAGAGUCUUUACCCAUCCUGUUACUCUAAGGCAGUGUGUAGUGUCUAUCUUUAAAACUGAAAAUGUGUUUCUUGUAGGCAACAGGUAGAUGGAUUUUGUUUCUUGAUCCAUUAAGCCAGCAUGUUAUUUAAUUGGAGAAGUGAGAUCAUCUAUAUUUAAAGUUAAUAUUUAAAAGUCUGUGCUGACUGGAGCCAUUAUGUUGUUGAUUUUUGGUGGUAUUAUGUUCUUGGUACUUUGUGCUUUUGUGAUGAUGGCUUUGUUUUUCUUUCAACAGUCUCUUAGCUACGCUCAUUUCUCUCUGCAGCCUGACAUACAGCUUCCUGUAUUUUCUUUGAGUGUUGUUUGUGGGAUAUAAAAAUGUCAGGCUGUGUAUAGCAUGGGGAAUUUUUCUUUCUUUCAGCUAAGGCAGAUAGUUUCCCUGGACAAAUUAGUCUAGGCUGUCAUUGUGUGGAUGUUUUUAGCACUCUUACUGCAUUGUUCCAAGAUCUUCUGGCUUUCCAAGUUUCCACUGAGAAAUCCUUUGUUAUUUUAAUAAGUUUUCCUUUUGAGUGACUUGCUACCUUUCUUUUGUAGCUUUCAAUACACUUCCCUUGUUCUGUGUACUUAGUGUUUUAACUAGCAUACACUGAGUAUUUCUGGUCUGGUCUAUCUGGUGUUCUGUGUGCUUCUUCUAUUUGUAUGGGUGCAUCUUUCCUUAGUUUGGGGACUUGUUCUAUGACGCAGAUGUGAUUGAAAGAGGGAGCCACAUUCCAGACCCACCAAGCAGAACUGACAAGCUUUCGCCACAUGGUUCUGGCUUUAGAGUCAAGGAUACAAGAAAGGAGUUAUGGAAUCUCCCUCCAUGGCUAAGGAAAGCCACUGAGGCCAGGCUUGUCUCAGGGGUGUCCCUGCAUUGGAGGACAUUGCAGAUGAGUCAUUGCGUGCUGCUGUGAAGAAUAGUAGACUGAGAUCUCUACAUGAAGAAGAAGGGCAGAAGGAGGGCUGGAAGACAGAUGUGGGACAUGUGCUCCUGUGGGAUCUGUCCCAGGACCUGGCCCAUCCUAAGAAAAAAUUCUGACACCAUGGAAGGAGGCUUUGCACACCUGCGACUAGAAUCCUGUUCCACGCACACAAAGGGGCCCAGAGGGUCAGCGGCAGAUUUGACGCCCGAACAGGGACACCAGAGCAGGAGAUAAGAAGAGUAUUCCUUCGGGUCCCUGCCUGCAUUGUGGCAAAGGAAAGCACUGGAGAAUGAUUGCAAGUCAAAAUCCCACAAAGAUGGGACUCCACUCAUUAAAGAAGCAGAAUGCUGCAAGAACAUGCUAGCUUCCAAUGUGACAGGCUGACCUGUGAGUAGGAACUGACAGUGCCCUGACAGUGAUGACAAGAAAGCUGUAUUGAGCAUACAGAGAAGGAGAAAUCGGAGAGAGCACACACAAGCAAAAUAAAGAAACUCUUCCUAUCUCUGCCAUGGGCUACAGCAAGGAGAGCCAAACUGGUGUCAACUUGGGGACAACUAAAAAAGCUGACUCGUGAGGCGGCAGGACUGCUACAGAGUAUUGGACAAGAUUUCAUCAGAGACAUUGUUUUUGGCCAUUCAGGCCAACUCCCCUAUAGCUGUAAAAGCUUGUGUACCUUACCUGUAUGCUAUAUUGUUAGAUAAGUUUAAGAGUUAAGAUCACCAAUAUUGGCAAGUCUUUUCAUAUUCAUUGUAAUUCUUGUCAAUUAACUAAUUGUGUAGAUCCUAAUUUAGAUAAGGAAUCUGCUGUUAAGAUUUUGUUAAAGAGACCUGCUUAUAUUUUGCUGCCUAUUAGAGUUAGGCAAUGAUCCUUGGUUUAAAAAUCUGGGAAUGCAAACUUUGAAAAGUUAUCUACCACAGCCUUAGCUCAGCAGCUGCAUACUGCUCAUUUUUGUUAAUGAUAAGCAUAGGAAUAUUUCCAUAGCUUUGUCAGAGCAACAUAUUAUAUAGGUAAAAAAUUGGAAGCAAAGGUUAAUGCCAUAGAAGAAGUAGUGCUGGCAAUAGGGCAAGAUGUUGCAAAUAUUAAGAUCAGGUUAGCUACUAAAUAUCAUGCUUCUUUCCAAUACAUUUGUGCCACCCCCUUACCUUAUAUUACAACCAUUUAUUGAGAAAAGACUAAAGCUCAUUUUCAGGGAGUAUGGAGAGAUACUGAUAUUUCUCAUAACUUGGAACAGUUAAAGGCAGACAUUUUAGAUAUUAGUAAAAGUCAUUUGGACACUUGGAACACUGAUGAAUUGGAUACAGAUUAAAAAAAAUAACCUAAGUGCAUUGAACCCUCUAGAUUGGUUCAAUAUAUAAUCAUACUUAUUACUAUUGGCAUUGUUUUAUUAGUAAUUGUUGUGUUUCCACUCAUCUUUAGAGAGCUCCUGAGAUAUGUAGCUACAACUAGGCAGGACAUCCUGGAACGUCGACUGAAAAAAAGAAAAAAGGAAAGGGGUAAAUGCCAUGCACAGUACUGUGAACUCUGCUUGGCAGGCCAAGAGUCCUGGAAGCAUUCACAAGGCAAAGAGUUUCAUGGAGGCUAACGUCCUGGAGUUCUGGCAUUCUCAUUAACCCAUAUACUCAUACCCUAUUCUCAAGUUAGUCUGGUGUAUGGAUCCACGGGCUCUCAUUUAGUACUAUCUUAUUAUAAGUGCCUUUUAUGAUUAAAUUCUGACAUAGCUAAGCCUUCACCAAUGUUCCAACAUCCUAGAAAGUCCUUGAGCUGACCAUGGGCUUGGAAUUCAGUAAGAAUGUUGCCUAUUCAGUGAUAUUCAGAAUUGCCUCUGAUAUUACACUAUCACAUAGAAUAAUAAAAGCCAAGUUGUUCCCAUAUACAGGAAUUUACAAUGGUUUAGGAAGUAGAUCAGGCUGUGGUUUUAGAGUAUUGCAUUAUUCAUGAGAUGGUUAGCUAGAACGGAACUCCCUAAAUAGAACCAUGACUUGGGUGUGAAAGCCCUUGCCCUAGGAGUGUAAAGACCUCACACUUCUGGCUUCUAAGACUAUAGCUGACCUUAUAUAGGGCUGACUUUGUCUCAGUUAUUUUGUUGCCCAGUUCUUGCCAGUCUUUGUGUUUACAUUCCUCUGUUUUGUGUAAGAGUCAUUAAGCAUCCGGUAACCUCAUUUGUACCUUGCUGAUGUGUCACCUAACUUCCCUAUUUUCUUCUGUAUAAAAAGUUUGAUGCUCAGUUUG